CGGCGGACGGGUGAGUAACGCGUGGGUAACCGUGCCUCAUACAGGGGAGUAACAGUUGGAAACGACUGCUAAUACCGCAUAAGCGCACAGUACCGCAUGGUACCGUGUGAAAAACUCCGGUGGUAUGAGAUGGACCCGCGUCUGAUUAGCUAGUUGGUGGGGUAACGGCCUACCAAGGCGACGAUCAGUAGCCGACCUGAGAGGGUGACCGGCCACAUUGGGACUGAGACACGGCCCAA
rnacentral:rRNA from 1 species